UUACCAUGCAGUCGAACGGUGAUGUCAGAGCUUGCUCUGGCGGAUCAGUGGCGAACGGGUGAGUAACACGUGAGUAACCUGCCCCCGACUCUGGGAUAACUGCUAGAAAUGGUAGCUAAUACCGGAUAUGACGACUGGCCGCAUGGUCUGGUCGUGGAAAGAAUUUCGGUUGGGGAUGGACUCGCGGCCUAUCAGGUUGUUGGUGAGGUAAUGGCUCACCAAGCCUACGACGGGUAGCCGGCCUGAGAGGGUGACCGGCCACACUGGGACUGAGACACGGCCCAGACUCCUACGGGAGGCAGCAGUGGGGAAUAUUGCACAAUGGGCGCAAGCCUGAUGCAGCAACGCCGCGUGAGGGAUGACGGCCUUCGGGUUGUAAACCUCUUUUAGUAGGGAAGAAGCGAAAGUGACGGUACCUGCAGAAAAAGCACCGGCUAACUACGUGCCAGCAGCCGCGGUAAUACGUAGGGUGCAAGCGUUGUCCGGAAUUAUUGGGCGUAAAGAGCUCGUAGGCGGUUUGUCGCGUCUGCUGUGAAAUCCCGAGGCUCAACCUCGGGUCUGCAGUGGGUACGGGCAGACUAGAGUGCGGUAGGGGAGAUUGGAAUUCCUGGUGUAGCGGUGGAAUGCGCAGAUAUCAGGAGGAACACCGAUGGCGAAGGCAGAUCUCUGGGCCGUAACUGACGCUGAGGAGCGAAAGCAUGGGGAGCGAACAGGAUUAGAUACCCUGGUAGUCCAUGCCGUAAACGUUGGGAACUAGAUGUGGGGACCAUUCCACGGUCUCCGUGUCGCAGCUAACGCAUUAAGUUCCCCGCCUGGGGAGUACGGCCGCAAGGCUAAAACUCAAAGGAAUUGACGGGGGCCCGCACAAGCGGCGGAGCAUGCGGAUUAAUUCGAUGCAACGCGAAGAACCUUACCAAGGCUUGACAUAUACCGGAAACGUGCAGAGAUGUGCGCCCCGCAAGGUCGGUAUACAGGUGGUGCAUGGNNGUCGUCAGCUCGUGUCGUGAGAUGUUGGGGUNAGUCCCGCACGA
rnacentral:rRNA from 1 species